UUGCACGCUGGCGGCAUGCUUUACACAUGCAAGUCGCACGGCAGCGCGGGCUUCGGCCUGGCGGCGAGUGGCGAACGGGUGAGUAAUACAUCGGAACGUGCCCAGUAGUGGGGGAUAGCUCGGCGAAAGCCGGAUUAAUACCGCAUACGACCUGAGGGUGAAAGCGGGGGAUCUUCGGACCUCGCGCUAUUGGAGCGGCCGAUGGCAGAUUAGCUAGUUGGUGGGGUAAAGGCCUACCAAGGCGACGAUCUGUAGCUGGUCUGAGAGGACGACCAGCCACACUGGGACUGAGACACGGCCCAGACUCCUACGGGAGGCAGCAGUGGGGAAUUUUGGACAGUGGGCGAAAGCCUGAUCCAGCAAUGCCGCGUGUGUGAUGAAGGCCUUCGGGUUGUAAAGCACUUUUGGCGGGAACGAAAAGGACUGUGCCAAUACCACGGUUCGAUGACGGUACCCGCAGAAUAAGCACCGGCUAACUACGU
rnacentral:rRNA from 1 species